rnacentral:rRNA from 1 species
GCCAGCAGCCAUGUCACCCUGCAACUCACAGCUGGCAGUCCACUGAAGCUCAGCAGGUGUGAGCCUGGUCAGUACCUGGACAGGAGACUUCCUGGGAAAAACUAAGGUUAUUGCUAGAA